rnacentral:lncRNA from 1 species
AUGACUAAUGGACAUUUCCCCACUGCUUAUCAACACAGUGUUUUGAGAGGUAGAUAAUGCAAAUUAUCCAUUAACUUAUGUGCUGGGUCUGCUCUUACCGGAUUUAGCGUGCCACUGGUCAGCUCAGCCACAGUGGAGAUAUGUUCUUUGAAAAGAAGCUCAUAAAAGAAAAGCUGAAGAGUAUGGAGUCCUAUAGAUUAUAUUUAAAAAGUUAAAAAGGAUAUUCUUGUCUGUUCUCUGGCCCCAGACAUAUUCAGGUACUGAUGCAAAUUGGACCAGCUUCACCAGAACAGAUGAAAAAAUCCACUCCAGUUCUGGCAUUUAAAACAUUUCUGAAGGAUGCGGUUGAUCUUCACUGCAACUGUGUUCUGGUCCAAACAGAAAGAAGACUUGAGCCCAAGCUUCCUCAGUCAAAACUGUGGCCAUCUUUGUCAUACCAGGGCAUUCCAUUCUUACAUGAUAGGAAAUAUUGGCAGUCACGGGCAAACCGAGCCAGUUAGACCAGCUGGUCCUGUUACAGGUAAAUGAAGAAAAACAAAUGUCACAUCAAAUCCAACCUGAGCUGCUUCUGGCAUGUGUUUGCCAUGGGAGGAGCAAGGGCAGAUUCAAAGCCACAUUCACAUCGACUUCAAUGAAAGCUAACCCUGGGAUUAAAAUUUGAAAACUGCUGCUAUUCCUCCUUAGAAAAACUGCAUUUCAAACAAAUCUGUACUUCAGCCAGUCUCAAAGUUGAUCUUAAUCAACUGCUUAAAACACUCUGACUGAAGCACUGAGCAGUGCACUGAAGUUACCAAAGCUGAAGAAUCACCGGAAUUCUUGGCAGCAUUCUCUGUGGAUGUUAUGUGUUCUCUGUGAGCUACUUUGUACGGAAUCAAAACCCCAGGAGAUGGCAAGAAGGUCACCUGGCUAGGGCCAGCAGAGAAGGGCUGUUGGACUUUGGAGACUGCCCAUUUAAGAGAUGUUUCCUUAAACAUAGAAGGCCAAGGUUCAGGGUGUUUACUUUUUUUUAGUGGGAUUUCCUCACUAACUAGACACUGACUGACUGUUCUGGUGGGAAAUUCAUCACUUCCAGAAGCAAAUUAAAGAAGUCUCCAUGUCCUGGUUUCAGCUGACAUAGAGUUAAUUUUCUUCCUAGUAGCUGGUACAGCACUGUUUUGGAUUUAGGAAGGGAAUAAUGUUGACAACACACCAAUGUUUAGUUAUUGCUGAACAGCUCUGCAUACAUCCAAGGACAUUUCAGCUCCUCGUGCUGCCCAACCAGUGGGGAGAUGAGGGUGCACAAGGAGCUGGGAGUGGACAGAACCAGCAUGGCUGACCCCAACAGGCCAAAGGCACAUUCCAUACCAUGUGGUGUCAUGCUGCACAGUAAAACUGAGGGAGUGGCCAUCAAUUGGGAACUGACUGGGCAUUGGUCAGCAGGUGGUGAGCAGUUGCAUUGUACAUCAC